rnacentral:rRNA from 1 species
UGAGGAAUCUUCCGCAAUGGGCGCAAGCCUGACGGAGCGACACCGCGUGGAGGAUGAAGUUGGUUUCCAACGUAAACUCCUGUUCUGAGGGACGAAAUUUUUGACGGUACCUCAGGAGAAAGCACCGGCUAAUCCCGUGCCAGCAGCCGCGGUAAUACGGGAGGUGCAAGCGUUACUCGGAAUUACUGGGCGUAAAGCGUCCGCAGGUGUCCUACCACGUCUGAGGUAAAAGCACGGAGCUCAACUCCGUGUACGUCUUAGAAACGAGUGGGAUUGAGUCACUCAGAGGCAUCUGGAAUGUCGCGUGUAGGGGUAAAAUCCGUUGAUCCGCGAUAGAACGCCAAAAGCGAAAGCAGGAUGCUGGGGGUGUACUGACACUCAGGGACGAAAGCGUGGGGAGCAAACGGG